rnacentral:tRNA from 1 species
GCCCGAGUGGUGGAAUUGGUAGACACGUACGUUUCAGGUGCGUAUUCCGCGAGGAGUGCAGGUUCAAGUCCUGUCUCGGGCA